GCCACUCUGUGCGACUUCUGGGCCAGAAGAAAGAUAAUGGAAAGCGGCUGGGGGGAGCUCGCUUGGAUUUGCCCAAGAUCAGGAAGAACCCACUGAUAGAAAUAAUUUCCAUCAAUACUGGGUGUCUCAAUGCAUGUACCUACUGCAAAACUAAACACGCCAGAGGAAAUUUGGCCAGUUAUCCCAUUGAUGAACUAGUAGAUAGAGCCAAACAGUCUUUUCAAGCAAGGAUUAUUCAGAGAAAAAGUGAAGUUCAACAGUGGCCCCCCUUCAUUCUCUACCACAAGUAUCCUCCUUCAGACAGCAAGUGUGCACUGCAGGUGCGUGGAAAGUGGUGAAGAAUGCACACCUGGAAUCACACGGCAGAUUUCCCAGGCCAACAGCUGAAGCAGUAGAAUGAAAACCAUGAUGAUUGCUCUGCCUUGGGGAGACAGCCCCACCUUUGCUAGUGCUCAUCAUUCUCCUGCAUGGAACAGCGAGAAGCUCCUGGCCUGCUCCUUAUUGUCUCGUGACCUCUCACGUGGCUCCCACUUUCCCCCUUAAGUAUGCAGUAAGCACGUUAGAGCAACAGCCCCUGAAGAAGGUACCGCUGGUGGCACAUCACUCCUUGCGACUUGAGUGGAAAAGGCUGCUCUUAAAGGUGACCACGGGAGAGAGUCGUUCCAUGGAGCUGCUCCAGGAGCUUCCCCUGGUCAUUUUGAACACCAUCCGUGGGGGAGAGUCCUUUCCAGCUUUCUCUUUAUGGGAUCGCCUGUUUUUCAAUAGCGUAUUUCUUAAUAAACACAAACUUGGUUCCUCAAAAUCUUACCAUUGUGUCUCUAAGAAAUGUGCUGGGAACC